UUGACCAUUACUUCACAGAGCUCCCCCGCUGGACAGCCCUAUAAGAAACUAACCACCUAAGAGUGCCUGCUAUUGUCCCUGACGUUCUCCACAGGGCUACUAUGAUGUCACCAGGAAAGGCAUCCAACAAAUCAAGAAUGUUAGAGGCACAGAACGUGAGAGGGCUCCUACAUGAUUUUCCCGUGGUUUCAAAGUUUCCCUGAAGAUGAUGACCAUUCGACCUGUUAGUUCACAUAACUUCCCAGUAAGGAAGGGGAGAAGUCUGCUUUUGAGUCACUUAUCAUCACCUACAGGAGAUACCACAUAAAUCAUUAAAAUUAUAACUCAACUUGCAA